rnacentral:lncRNA from 1 species
AGGUUCCUUUUUUCUUCUCUUCAAUUUUUACCUUCUCUUUCUCUCUUUCUAUCCACGUAUAUUUUGUUCUCAAGUACCUCUCGACCGAUGUGAAAUUCGCCGUGGGAUACGUCCACUACAAUCUCGCACGAACUAUAUCAAAGAGAUAAGCCGCUGAGAAAGAACCCAACACCACCGAGAGGAAGAAGAA